GUAGUGCAGUGGGUGAGUCUGUCUUUGACGUGUGUGCACUAAAGCUUUGCAGUGCUGUGCCGUUUCCCUGUUGUCUGUACUUGCCCUCCAGGCCGAGAAAAGUUCCUGUUGGAAAGAACGUAGGCUGCCGUGGCGGUGCCCACCUAUCCCACCUACGCCCGCCUAUAACUCCGUUCUCCGGACCCAGCUCGAAGGUGAAGUGUGAAAGCAAAACAAGGUAUUGUGCGGAUAUUGUGGGGAAAGCUACUGACCUUGAAUACGCUCUGUAAGCCCAGCCGUGAAGAUACAGUUACUUGUUGAAUACUUACCUGUCUGUACGAGCUAAAAGCUAUUGCCCUUGAAUACGCUCUGUAAGCCCAGCGUGAAGAUACAGUCACUUGUUGAAUACUCACCUGUUUGUACGAGCUAAAAGCUACUGACCUUGAAUACGCCCUGUAAAGCCCAGUGUGAAGAUACAGCUACUUGUUGAAUACUUACCCGCCUGCACGAGUUAAAAGCCAUUGCUCUGGAACCCGCUCAGUAAGCCUAGUGUGAAGAGUCAGUCACCUUGCUCAAUAUCUAUCUGUGAUACGAGUAAAAAGUUACUCGCUUCUGAUAUACCGGUGGACAUCCAGGGGCAUGGCCUAGUUACCUUGCUACAUCCUUACCGUUGUUCCUUACCUGUGCCCUCAGGGAUUUGGGUGUUACCUUAUAUCUACCUAGGAGGUCUAUGGGAGUGGAGGAGCUGUCCAGACGCUGGAGAAGAGAAGGGCGCCACGGGAAAUCAAGCAGUUAAGGAAGGACUUAGGAUUAGUCAGGAGACUGGUGGAAGUUCUGGGAAAGGACGGAAGAGCCCUUGCCCCCCCCCUCCCCUGGUGAUUACUUACCAAAGACCUCCAGAGUUCUCAGGCCCAGUCCCCUCCUGUCAAGAGACGAAAAUCAAAGUUUUAGAUUCCCCUUUUCUCCUUUCCUAGAUUACCUUUUUAAAUAAUUUAAAUAAAGUUGUUUUAAAUUCCCUUAACUCAUCUUGUGUGUCUGGUCCUUGGGGUGAUCUUGGGACCUCCUCGAGGUGGAAGUCGGGAAGGGGCGUGACUCGCAACACCUGUGGUCCGCUCCGACCUGUGACAGAUUUUGGCGUAGUCGGCAGGGUUCCACCUCGAGUGGAGCGACCACGGUCCCCCAAUGGCCGACAACGAGCUGCCAGGAGUCCCGCCCCGAG
ensembl:lncRNA